UACAGAGGUCUCAAGCGUUGUUCGGAUUCAUUGGGCGUAAAGGGUGCGUAGGCGGCGCGGUAAGUCGGGUGCGAAAUCUCGGAGCUUAACUCCGAAACUGCAUUCGAUACUGCCGUGCUUGAGGACUGGAGAGGAGACUGGAAUUUACGGUGUAGCGGUGAAAUGCGUAGAUAUUGGGAGGAACACCAGUGGCGAAGGCGGCUCACUGGACCGGUUCUGACGCUGAGGCGCGAAAGCGUGGGUAGCAAACAGG
rnacentral:rRNA from 1 species